rnacentral:rRNA from 1 species
AUUGAACGCUGGCGGCAUGCCUUACACAUGCAAGUCGAACGGUAACAGGUCUUCGGAUGCUGACGAGUGGCGAACGGGUGAGUAAUACAUCGGAACGUGCCCGAUCGUGGGGGAUAACGAGGCGAAAGCUUUGCUAAUACCGCAUACGAUCUACGGAUGAAAGCGGGGGAUCUUCGGACCUCGCGCGGACGGAGCGGCCGAUGGCAGAUUAGGUAGUUGGUGGGAUAAAAGCUUACCAAGCCGACGAUCUGUAGCUGGUCUGAGAGGAUGAUCAGCCACACUGGGACUGAGACACGGCCCAGACUCCUACGGGAGGCAGCAGUGGGGAAUUUUGGACAAUGGGCGAAAGCCUGAUCCAGCCAUGCCGCGUGCAGGAUGAAGGCCUUCGUGUUGUAAACUGCUUUUGUACGGAACGAAAAGCCUCUUUCUAAUAAAGAGGGGUCAUGACGGUACCGUAAGAAUAAGCACCGGCUAACUACGUG